rnacentral:rRNA from 1 species
GUCUACAGCAAUACCACCCUGAACAUGCCUGAUCUUGUCUGAUCUUGGAAGCUAAGCAGGGUCAGGCCUGGAUAGUACUUGGAUGGGAGGAUGGAGGAGAUAAGGAAGUAGAGC